GAUGAACGCUGGCGGCGUGCCUAAUACAUGCAAGUCGAGCGAAGGGACGAGUUGCUGUCUUCUCGGAGGUGAGCGGGGGGCGGGGGAGUAACACGUGGAUAACCUACCUAUAGGACUUGGAUAACUGCGGGAAACAGGAGUUAAUGGCGGGUAAUUGUUUGAACCGGUGGGUUCAAGAGUGAGAGAAGGUCCUGCUGUCCCUUAUAGAUUGAUCCGCUCUGCGUUGGCUAGUUGGUAAGGUAAUGGCUUACCAAGGCAACGAUGCAUAGCCGACCUGGGGGGGUGAGCGGCCCCACUGGAGGUGAGACACGGUCCAGAGGCCUACGGGAGGCAGCAGUAGCGAAUCUUCCGCGAAGGGCGGAGGACUGACGGAGAAACGCCGCGUCAGUGAUGAAGGUCUUCGGAUCGUAAAACUCUGUUAUUCGGGGAGAACAUAGGUGUAAGUAAGUGUGCACAUCUUGACGGUACCUGAUCAGAAAGCCACGGCUAACUACGUG
rnacentral:rRNA from 1 species